UCAGUGUGUAGGCUCAUUGUUCCUCCAAUAGUAGGACUUAUGUAGCUGGUGCUGGUUUGAAUUUGGGUGGUAACUGGUCAGGGUAAAGCAUUUGUUUGUCUCUAGUUAAGAUCUUUGGUUCGAAACGUUGCCCUCAACGUCAUGACAACACUGUGAGAGCAUUUAGCACUGUGUGACCCAGGCCUCCAUCUUUCUUUCAAGGCUUUCUUUCAAGGCUUUGUGUCCUCUAUCUCUGUUCCCACAGGAUUGUUUCUUGACCAUGAGUCCCAGCUGGUACCAGAGUCUGAUCAAAGUGCCGCUGACUCGCUUCCCUCAGAGCUGCCGACACUUUGACCAGAGUGGCAUUCAGUAUCUGGCUGUCCUGAACCAGAAAUUCACUGACUGCUUUGUUCUGGUCUUCCUUGAAAAUCAGGCAGGAAAAACGAGCCUCAAGGUUGUAUUUAGGGAGCCAUUGCCAUCCCAACCGCAGCCUAGGAACAGCCCCUCGCCCCAGCUGGUGUCCAUGCACCAUCACCUGGAGUCUGAUCAACACAGCCUGCUACAACUUGUGGACAGGCCUGCUGUAGGCCUGGAGGGCCAAUCAGGGCCAGGUGGGCCACAGAGAAACAGGCUGCUGGGAGGUGUAGUUCCAGACAGACGGCUUCAUUUAUAAGCCGUCUUGGCAUGUGGGACACAAAAAAGGAUGUUAUUGUUGAAAUGUGCUAAAUCAGCGAAUCAAAGAGUUCACAUGUCAAAGCUUCCUGUGCAAUUUACCACUGGGAGAAAAGAUACACACUAUUGUUAAAGGGAUAGUGCAAGAUUUUGGCAAUGAAGCUGUACCUGUAGACUUCCAGUUGCGCUGACGCUAGUUAGGCUCGCAAAAACUACCUUCAACUUCCUUCAAACUGCACGCAGAGACAUAGAAAUGGCAUCUGACAUUGCAAAAAUCUUGCACCAUCCCUUUAAAGAUACGACCUUACCUGCCUGUGUCACCCGGCCUGUGUUUUGGUUAAAAGCUGAGGGAUGUGCCUGGAAAAAUUGGUAUCAAAAUUAUAGUUUAACUUGUUUUGAGGGUGUACAGUGUUUGUUUACAUUGUUUACAAGCAUUGGAGUAAAAUAAGAUUAUAUUUGUUCUGAUAAGGUACCGCAGUUGAACUAAGUUAUAUUCUUUAAGAAUCAAUGGGAAUACAUCAUUACUUUAGAUGUCCAAAAAUUGAUGUAGCAACGAACUAGCUUUGAAGCACAUGAAGGGCUCUAUUAAAUCAGAUCCCCUUUAGCUGACAUCCACAUAGCUGUUGUUUUGGUGGUGUCGGAGGUGAAACGGCGUUAGAACUGUCAAAUCCACAAGUGGCUCCUGGCAUUAUACAGUGCCUUCGGAAAGUAUUCAGACCCCUUGACUUUUUCCCCAUUUUCAUAUGUUACAACCUUAUUCUAAAAUGUUUUAAAUAUUUUUUUUCCCUCAUCAAUCUACACACAAUACCCCAUAAUGACAAAGCAAAAACAAGUUUGUAGAAAUGUUUGCUAUUAAAAAAUGUCAAACUGAAAUAUCACAUUUACGUAAGUAUUCAGCCCCCUUACUCAUGACUUUGAGGAGUGAGUACUGGUAGCGGUUACAGCACCGAGUCUUCUUGGGUAUGGCGCUACAAGCUUGGUACACCUGUAUUUGGGGAGUUCCUCCCAUUCUCUGCAGAUCCUCUCAAGGUCUGUCAGGUUGGAUGGGGAGCGUUGCUGCACAGCUAUUUUCAGAUCUCUCCAGAGCUGUUCGAUCGGGCUCUAGCCACUCAAGGACAUUGAGACUUGUCUUGAAGCCACUCCUGCAUUGUCUUGGCUGUGUGCUUAGGGUCGUUUUCCUUUUGGAAGGUGAACCUUCGCCCCAGUCUGAGGUCCUAACCUGCUCCAGAGCGCUUUUCAUCAAGAAUCUGUACUUUGAGCCGUUCAUCUUGGCCUCGAUUCUGACUAGUCUCCCAGUCCUUGCCGCUGAAAAACAUCCCCACAGCAUGAUGCCGCCACCACCAUGCUUCACCGUAGGGAUGGUGGCAGGUUUCCUCCAGAUGUGACGCUUGGCAUUCAGGCCAAAGAGUUCAAUCUUGGUUUCAUCAAAUCAGAGAAUCUUUUUCAGAGAAUCCUUUUGGCAAACUCCAAGUGCCUUUUACUGAGAAGUGGCUUCUGUCUAGCCACUCUACCAUAAAGGCCUGAUUGGUGGAGUGCUGCAGAUAUGGUUGUCCUUUUGGAAGGUUAACCCAUCUCCACAGAGGAACUCUAGAGCUCUGUCAGUGACCAUCGGGUUCUUGGUCACCUCCCUGACCUAGGGCCUUCUCCCCAGGUUGCUCAGUUUGGCCGGGGGGGCAGCUCUUGGAAGAGUCUUGGUGGUUCAAACUAAUUCCAUUUAAGAUUGAUUGAGGCCACUGUGUUCUUGGGGACCUUCAAAGCUGCAUAAAUGUUUUGGUACCCUCCCCCAGAUCUGUGCCUCGACACAAUCCUGUCUCAGAGCUCUACGGACAAUUCCUUGGACCUAAUGGCUUGGUUUUUGCUCUGACGUGCACUGUCAACUGUGGGACCUUAUAUAGACAAGUGUGUGGCUUUCCAAAUCAUGUCCAAUCAAUUCAAUUUACCACAAGUGGACUCCAAUCAAGUUGUAGAAACAUCAAGGAUGAUCAUAGGGCGAUAGUAUCGGGUCUGAAUACUUAUGUAAGGUUUUUUAUUUGUAAUACAUUUGCAAACUUUUCUAGAAACUUGAUUUCGUUUUUUUCAUGGGGGUAUUUUGUGUAGAUUUAGAAGGAUUGUAAAAAUGUAAUCCAUUUUAGAAUAAGGCUGUAAUGUAACAAAAUGUUGAAAAAGUAAAAGGGUCUGAAUACUUUCCAAAGACACUGUACCUAAAGUGGACUUUGCCAUUGGCUGCAUGACAUUGCAUUGAGAAAUUCCAUGGAGCCUUGUUUACAAGUUUGAACAUAAGAAUGUGAGACGUAAAGUACACCUUAAUAAGGCUGAUAAGAAUACUCAUUAUUUAGGUGAAUUAGUAUGUAGCCUACACUUUCUCGUUCUGAACUAACAUGAGUGCGACGGGUGUGGAUUCGUGACAAUGAUCAAGAACAGCUGCUCACCGAUUUUGACAGCUCCAACGUACGCAGUUACACUUCUGACGCCGCUAAAACAUCAGCUAUGCGGGUGUCAGCUAUCGGCGAUUAAAUUAAAAUUUAAAAAGUAAGAUAUGAAAAACAAAUAAUUUUCAGGGGGUACCGGUGUCAAGGUAUUUGAGAUAAUUAUGUACAUGCAGGUAGGGUUGCCUCCUGCAGUGGACAUUGAUCCUCGCAGACAGAGGGCACUUACUGUAACAAUGCUCUUUAGCUGUCACUACUUCAUAAUUACAGAAUUGAACUGAAGAAGACGUGCUUUUUGCGCUGAACAGUGCACCAGAGAUUAUGCAAUUUGCCCCAAUUUUCAAUGGCAACAUGAGCCUAUUACUCAUUGAUUUAGAGGUUAGUGGUGGUAUGGUAGAAUGGAAAGGGGGUGAGACUUUCAGGCUAGUAUGAUCUAAUGCCAUAGUACUGUAUGUACUAUGGCACAACAUUUUUGUAAUUUAGCAGGCUUUUAUCCAGAGCGACUUACAGGAGCAUUUAGGGUUAAAUGCCUUGCUCAAGGGCACAUCAGCAGAUUUUUGUCACCUAGUCGGCUUGUGGAUUCGAACUAGUGACCGUUCAGUUACUGGCCCAAUGCUCUUAACCGCUAGGCUACAUUCCCAUUCAGCUUGUCGUUCGGCUGAUGCCUCUCUACUUCAGAUCAGAGAUCAUCCACCAUACAUGUACAGUAGAAAUCUUACCUGAAGUGGAUCUCAUUCCCCGACCUGUGAAUUGGACUGUAAACAAGUCUGUAUUGUGCAACCAAGUGUUGGUAAAUUAGACCUAAUUCUCCAACUUGUAAACCAUUUAUAGUUGUAGGUGUUCAAAUCAUAUGAAUGAAGGAAAUAAGGUGUUUCCCUCUUGGAUACUGUGCCGUGCCAAAGUCUAGGAAUAGAUUCUCAAGAUCACCACAGCAAUUGUCUUCUGCAGAGGGGAAAGAUUGCUGCCGUUUCAGUAAUAUUGGGUAAUUGAUUUUUUUCUUCUUCCCAUUGUGUCCUAUAAGUGUCAAACCUGAUGGCAGUUGGGCAGAUCUUCAUCCUGAAGUGCCUUAGUUUGUUUUAUUUCUUAAUGAUGCGAUCAGGGCAGUAUUAUUAUUAUUGCAAGUGGAAUCUAUGGAAAUUGCAAUUGGACUACCUACUAGCUACAUUCUGACAGGGUUGAGUGUAUAGCUGGUAUUUUUACGCAUAGAGGAUCCAGCUUGUGUACAACAUCGUAAUAACACACCAGUUUUGCAAUGUCAUUACAAUACCAUAAGACUUAAGUUUGCACACAUUUAAAAUGAAGGAAACCAAAUAUUGUAUGAAGUUCCUUAUUAAAAAGUAAUGAAGGAUUUGGAUAUUUAUAAUGGAUUUCUGAGCAAGGCAAUGUGUCUUUGUUUUGAAGGUAAGAACACUGGAUAUUGAAUAAUGCAUGUCAACAGUAUAGGCAUUCUGAAACGUGUACAUAUGACAUGCUACAAUAAACCUUAUGGUGUAUUCAAGUGUGUUAACGAACUUGACAGAUGUAUGGUACUAGUGUAUGUGGGUGUUGUGCAACAUUGGGACUGGGAGUAGAGUGGAGAGUGUGGGUACAACACAGGACUUUAUUGUACAAAAAGACAAUUGCAAAUAAAUUCUCUAAUCAUA